rnacentral:tRNA from 1 species
GGGGGUAUAGCUCGGUGGUAGAGCUUGUGCCUAGCAUGCAGGAGAUGCUGGGUUCAAGUCCCAGUACCUCCA